UACAGAGGGUGCAAGCGUUAAUCGGAGUUACUGGGCGUAAAGGGCGCGUAGGCUGGUAUUUAAGUCGAUUGUGAAAUCCCUGGGCUUAACCUAGGAAUUGCAGUCGAUACUGAAUAUCUUGAGUAUGGUAGAGGAAAGUGGAAUUCUCGGUGUAGUGGUUAAAUACGUAGAUAUCGAGAAGAACACCGGUGGCGAAGGCGACUUUCUGGACCAAUACUGACGCUGAGGCGCGAAAGCGUGGGGAGCAAACAGGAUUAGAUACCCUGGUAGUCCACGCUGUAAACGAUGAGAACUAGAUGUCGCCUGGUUUAUACUAGGCAGUAUCGCAGCUAACGCAUUAAGUUCUCCGCCUGGGGAGUACGAUCGCAAGAUUAAA
rnacentral:rRNA from 1 species